UUGAAAGUUUGUAAUUAUGUUUAGAACAUAAUGGUUGGUUGACAAAAAUAGUCCAUCAACAUGGACUUAUGAUAAUUUUGAAUCAUUGAGUGUUGAAGUGUUAAACCACUUCUAGAGACGGAAACUAGGCAAGGACUUCACCUUUGUGUCCCUAUCCAAAUGGUUCACUAAGUUUAUUGUAAACUAUAUAGUGAACGUGAAUCAAAUGUAGAUCUCUGCGAAAGCACUUCGGAACGUGAAUCAAAUGUACAUCUCUGCGAAAGCAGAUCGUACUUACUUCCUCAUAUGAACUAUCAAAGAAAUUGGAAAAACCAAAGAUUGUCUUUACAUUCCAAUUUUAAGGAACUUAAUUCCGUCACUAUGAGAGAUGGAUGAAUGUUUUGUUUGACAAAACAUUGUUCUUUAUUAAUGAAUGAUUAGAUUAUUGUAAUCUAAUUGAUUAUCUCUAUAGUAGAGAUGAUAUGGUAGUGUUAACUGUUUAGAAUAUAACGAUGCUUAAAACCCAAAAGGUUGCAAGGUAGUGACUAAUCCUAACUGAGUUGUGAUACCUCUAAAACAUAAAUUACGAGUUGGUCAUAAAUGAAUACUUUGGAUCAUUAGAUUCGGAUCCAAUGCCUUCUUGUUAAAAUUGUAUAGAGGCAAAAUGUUUGAAUCUUUAUUCUUUUGGAAAGGAAGAAAGAAUCACAAAGUUGUUGAGGUUAAUUCACUUAGAUGUUAAUGGCACUUGUCCACAACAUAAUACUACUCAUGUUGUAUGACAUUCACCGAAGAUCACCCUCGGUUGGACUAUCAUUUAUUUUGAAUAAACACAAGUCCGAAUACUUUGCAAAAGGUUUCAAAGAAUUCA
rnacentral:lncRNA from 1 species